UAGUUGGGAUGCUCAAGCUUUCAAAACCUGCUUUCGUAUUAAGCAAGAAACGCCUCUUAAAACACAUAUUAUGGGACCAGAUGAACAUGGCCUUCAGACUUGGAGAAGUAUUUAAAAUGUUCCAGUAGAUGAAGCUACAGUGCAAGCACAGAAGAAAGAAACAUUUUUCCUCCAAAAAUUUGGUGGAGCUUGUGUGCCCAAAACAGAGUUUUCUUACUCCUUGAACAAGUCCAGCUCAUCCUAUUAUCCUUGGAAAAGCUGGGAAAAAAAGGACAGGGGACCAAAUGGACUUCCAGUGCGAUACAACAUUCCUAUGAUCCCAAAUGCUGCAGGAUUCAUUCAUGCUACAAG
rnacentral:lncRNA from 1 species